rnacentral:rRNA from 1 species
GACAGAGGUGCCGAGCGUUAGGCGGAAUCACUGGGCUUAAAGCGUGUGUAGGCGGAUCGUUAAGUGCCUUGUGAAAUCCCACGGCUCAACCGUGGAACUGCUGGGCAUACUGCCGAUCUUGAGCCACUUAGGGGCAACCGGAACAAACGGUGGAGCGGUGAAAUGCGUAGAUAUCGUUUGGAACGCCAAUGGUGAAAACAGACGACUGGGAGUGUGCUGACGCUGAGACACGAAAGCCAGGGGAGCGAACGGG